rnacentral:rRNA from 1 species
AACGAACGCUGGCGGCAUGCCUAACACAUGCAAGUCGAACGAGACCUUCGGGUCUAGUGGCGCACGGGUGCGUAACGCGUGGGAACCUGCCCUUAGGUUCGGAAUAACUCCCCGAAAGGGGUGCUAAUACCGGAUAAUGUCUUCGGACCAAAGAUUUAUCGCCUUUGGAUGGGCCCGCGUUGGAUUAGCUAGUUGGUAGGGUAAAAGCCUACCAAGGCGACGAUCCAUAGCUGGCCUGAGAGGAUGAUCAGCCACACUAGGACUGAGACACGGCCCAGACUCCUACGGGAGGCAGCAGUGGGGAAUAUUGGACAAUGGGCGAAAGCCUGAUCCAGCAAUGCCGCGUGAGUGAUGAAGGCCUUAGGGUUGUAAAGCUCUUUUACCCGGGAUGAUAAUGACAGUACCGGGAGAAUAAGCUCCGGCUAACUCCGUG